rnacentral:rRNA from 1 species
UACGGGGGGGGCAAGCGUUGUUCGGAAUUACUGGGCGUAAAGGGGACGUAGGCGGCCAACUAAGUCCGACGUGAAAUCCCAAGGCUUAACCUUGGAACUGCGUCGGAUACUGGAUGGCUUGAAUUCGGGAGAGGGAUGCAGAAUUCCAGGUGUAGCGGUGAAACGCGUAGAUAUCUGGAGGAACACCGGUGGCGAAGGCGGCAUCCUGGACCGACACUGACGCUGAGGAGCGAAAGCCAGGGGAGCAAACGGG